GAUGAACGCUGGCGGCGUGCCUAAUACAUGCAAGUCGAGCGAACGGACGCGACGCUUGCUUCUCUGAUGUUAGCGGCGGACGGGUGAGUAACACGUGGAUAACCUACCUAUAAGACUGGGAUAACUUCGGGAAACCGUAGCUAAUACCGGAUAAUAUUUUGCACCGCAUGGUUCAAAAGUGAAAGACGGUCUUGCUGUCACUUCUCGAUGGAUCCGCGCUGCAUUAGCUAGUUGGUAAGGUAACGGCUUACCAAGGCAACGAUGCAUAGCCGACCUGAGAGGGUGAUCGGCCACACUGGAACUGAGACACGGUCCAGACUCCUACGGGAGGCAGCAGUAGGGAAUCUUCCGCGAUGGGCGAAAGCCUGACGGAGCAACGCCGCGUGAGUGAUGAAGGUCUUCGGAUCGUAAAACUCUGUUAUUAGGGAAGAACAUAUGUGUAAGUAACUGUGCACAUCUUGACGGUACCUAAUCAGAAAGCCACGGCUAACUACGUG
rnacentral:rRNA from 1 species